rnacentral:rRNA from 1 species
GUGGGGAAUAUUGCACAAUGGGCGAAAGCCUGAUGCAGCGACGCCGCGUGGGGGAUGACGGUCUUCGGAUUGUAAACCCCUUUCAGCAGGGAAGAAGCGAAAGUGACGGUACCUGCAGAAGAAGCACCGGCUAACUACGUGCCAGCAGCCGCGGUAAUACGUAGGGUGCGAGCGUUGUCCGGAAUUAUUGGGCGUAAAGAGCUUGUAGGCGGUUUGUCGCGUCUGCUGUGAAAAUCCGGGGCUCAACCCCGGACUUGCAGUGGGUACGGGCAGACUAGAGUGUGGUAGGGGAGACUGGAAUUCCUGGUGUAGCGGUGAAAUGCGCAGAUAUCAGGAGGAACACCGAUGGCGAAGGCAGGUCUCUGGGCCACUACUGACGCUGAGAAGCGAAAGCAUGGGGAGCGAACAGG